GGACAGAUGAGUGAACUUUUGCCUUAAACAUUUCUUGGUACAUAAGGUGCAAGCAAACCAAAACCCCAAACAAGCCAUGUGUUCCCAGCGGAAACAGGACUGAGCUGCUGCGACCCCUGAAAUGGUCUCCCUGCGACCAUUCGGGACACACCGAGCCUGCACUGAACCGGACCACGAUCGGACAGAGACUUUGGGACCUGGACUGCAAAUUACUGCUGCUUAGCACAACUUUUAUAAAACUUGCUUAGCCGCACUCCCUAGUUCAGUGAGAAAGGGCCCCAGAGCUGGUGCAGACUGGAAAGAUAAGGGAGUUACAAGCAGUCUGCAUUCCUAUGCGUCACACUCCAGGAGGGAGGAUGUCAAGGCUUUGAAAUAAGGCCUGCUUGGGCACCAGGACCCUGGGAAACAAAGCCUCCCCUCACUGCUGAAACAGUGUUAAUUAGGGGGGGUCUGGAUUAUAUCCUCCUCGUCAGGACCUUGGAAGAUAACACCUACUGUCACUGCUGGGGCAGUGCUAAUUGCUGGAACAACACCUGUUUGUCAGGGCCCUGAGAAAGAAGGGCAGAACCCGAGGAAUCAACACAUCUGUCAGCAGAAACCGCAACAGUAAAGAUAAGGGAGAAAAGCAGCCUGCCUGGGAACAACGAUGAGACCCAAUAGGGAGCAGGAGACCCCAGACCCAAAAAUUACUAUUGGUCUGAACUACCGCGUGAGGGGCGGGAAACUUAAUUUGAAAAAGCUGUAAUUGCCCAGGGAUUUCUUUGUUCAGGGUCCCUCUUCGGAGGCACCCAACUCGAGCUGUAACUACUGCACGCGUGUCAUUCCAAACUUUUCAGCGGGAACCUAGGGUCGGACCCUGCUCGAGUUGUAAUUACUGCACGCGCAUCGCUAAAAUUUACACCCAGGGUGAAGAGGACCAACGGGACGCCGCUGGAUCCAUGGGUGGUGAUAUCUCUUUCUCUCUCCCCCUUUUCUCUCUCUCUCUUUCUCUCUCUCCUCCCCUUCGCCUUCUCCCCCCACCUUUUCUCCCCACUCCGUGGAAAAUAAAGUUAAAAGGUUGUACGAUAUUUGACCGGUUUUAGCGUCUUAAUCUCGUCCUUGGGAUCAUAACGAACCCCCCCCCCCUCCCCCCCGCGAUAUUGGAUCGGGACACCAUCCCAUAAAAGUCAAUGCCGCAUGAUAAUAAAUCCAAACACAAGAAGGAAGAAGAGUCAUAGGAUUAUCUGGGAAUUUGGACUGUGUGCUUCUCUGUUUCAAUCUGUAAAGCUGAAAAAAUGAAGAUCUGAUCAGGAAACGUUUUGUAUUUUUGCCUUUUUAAAAUAGCUUAAAGUUAACUUCAAAACAAAUUUCAUGUUCCUCAUCUCCAGAUAGAUUUUUUUUUUAUAUCAGAUUAGGAUGAUUGGUUUCAAAACAUGAUAAGUAAGACUAAAAAUGAGAAAUUUGUUAAAUUCCAUGCAUUCCAGCAUAUUGUUUAUCUUCAACAAAUUCGCCUUUUCAGAUGUUGCUAAAUCCUUCUUGCUCUGGCCUAUGUGAUUGAAUGCUUUCCAUUUUUUCUUUUCAUCUGGCAUUCUGAUAGUUACAGGACAGAGAUUGUCUGUAGAAUGAUAAACCAUUGCAGAAUGAUCAAAGCAAAACUAACUGUGAUGUUACUCAUGUGCAAGGGCAAAUGCGUCUUGUGAGAGGGGCAGUGAUGGGGCUGCUGGAGGGAAGCCUUGCUUAGAUAAAAUGAGGUGAAGAAAAACUAACAGCUCAGUGGCAAUAUUGUGAUGAUCAAGUAUUUUUAAAAAGACACCCAUGCUAAAAACACUGUGUAUUUACUAUGCUUAGUUUCUAAAAAUAACCCACAAGUGCAAAGCCUAAUGUUUGGAAAACGUUACAGUCCAUAAUACUAUUGAAAACUACUGUAAGUAAAUUGUGAUCUCUCUCUUCCUUGGGUGACCGCAAGUGCAUGAAGUUUUAUAGGCAGAUGGGAAGAUGAGGUCCUUGCUGCCAAGCAUGAUCCAGGCAAAGCCCUUAACAUAACCUCCAUCAGCUGAGGGCAAAUUCUCCACAAACUUCUAAGGAAGGUGAAUACUGAUGAAGAUGGAGGAAAAAAAAUGUCAUUUGAAACCAUCUCUUGGGAAGUGAAUAGCAUGCUGGCCAGUAGUUUAGCACACAUCUCCAGCAGGCGGGGCUAGGUCUGUUCACAUCCAAGGUGAUCACUCUGCACCAAUAUUCAUUUAUUAUAAUUUUAUUAGUGCAGAUACUUAUGGUUAGGAAGCAGUAUGUAUGAGGGAACGUUUAUGUUAGGUUUGUGUUCAGUCUGAGGCUCUGCAUCUGGAGGAGAUCCUGCCUUAGUUUACUGUUACUCAAAUGGCUCUAAGUUGGGAAUGAUACAACCAGAUUGCUCUAUUUCCAGAGGAAAGGGAAGUGUCUUGUAACUUCCCUCUGUGCCCUAAGGGCAAACAGAAGUCUGUAGGAUUAUACUCUGGAGAGCCCUAUUAUUUUGGAUUGUGUGCAAAAUCCAGGCUGGAUGUGAGGCUUCAUGGGCAAAGCUCAAGAGGAGCACAUUUGAAGUCUCCUUUACACCCUUUUUUUCCAGAAGUGUGAAUAUUGCAAGCCAGCUGCCUUGUGGAGUGGAUUCCUGUUUCAAUGUAAGAACCCUUAUGAAACCAGUCAGUGUUCUACCCUCCAGGCAUUCCUGCUAAACUUGCCAUCAUGGGAUUGGAGGGACUGCCUGUUGGCCUGUGUCAGUCCAGAAGCAACAGGAAUGUGGUUUUGAGUAGGAAAAGCAGACUUAAGGAUUCUAUUUUAGGUUGUUUUCAGUCUUGAGCUGAUUUAAGAGCAUAAAUGGUCACCUAGCAUUUCAUCAGAGAUUAUUCUUUAUUUCAUUUUUUGGAGAAGAAGAGGAAGAGAAGGUCAAGGAGAGGAAGAAGUAUAGGGGAGCAGGGUCUAUUGUGGAUCUUCAAUAGCGUUAAUACUUUAAAUGGCAUUUUUAAAAAACAUUUGGAGUGAUGCCAUGAGGAAAACAUACAGAUGGCUGAGAUAAUGGGAGACUAGGCAUUUUCUCUCCCUAGCUUGUUUUACAAGACUAAUCUUAGUUUAAAGGAGCAGUGGGAGCCAGUGUUGGACUGGAUAGCUUUUGCAGAUAAGAUGGUGCUAAACAGUAAUACACAUAUUAACUAGUUAUUUAAGAAAUACUAAAAUAAAUCUUGAAACAUGAGAAUUAAUACUUGCUGUCUGUGCUCUUCCUCCUCCAGAAACAAAACAAAAAUGUUCGUUGUUGCUUUCCUUCAUACUGAUUGAUUAGACUAAAUAUGUAUUCCCAGUCACACCACACAUAUUGGAGCUGUUGCUGCUAAACUGAUGGUAUUGUAAUGAACACAAGAAUUUCAAAGAACAUCACUGCCUUUUGAAGUCAUGUGGGGACUAUAAUGCAGUCCAACAGACUUAGAUAAACAUUAAAGGGCAAUUUAAACUGGCAGAAGCCAUUCUUAAUUAUGUUACAACCUUUGCCAUAUCCAUUUCCAUAGCAGAAGGUAUUGGCUAGUGUAGGCUUGAAACUGAGUGGCAGAUUCUCACUUGGCAUAAAUCCAGAGUCAUACCUGCAAAAAGUCCGUAUCAUAUCUGACAUAUUACUUAUCUGCCCUUUGUUAAUCUGACUGCUGUGUCACUGACAUAUAUUUAAUUCUCUAGGUUCAAUUCUGUGCUCUUCUGGUAAAAUAAGUCUAUGUAGACCAGGUAAACUAAGUUUCUAGCUCAGUGCCUUGGAGCAAUCAAAUCCCCACUUGCAUAGGUCUAAUUAGUAGAUAAAUAAAUUACAAGAACUGAAAGGAUGUUGUGAUUGUCUCACCUGAUCUUCUGCCUAUAAUAGACCUUAAGGAUUUCUGGAGUUAAUUGCUUAUUUCCCAAACAUUCUGAAAGCUUAACUCUCUUUUUGAUCAUCAGUCUUCAUGCAACCCACUGUGGAAAUGGGUAGAAUUUCUUAAGCUCAAAUACUUCCUAGGCCUUUUCUAAGAUUUCUUUCUUACUUCUCUCCCUUUCAGCUUUCUAUGAUGUCUUGGGGAAUCAUGGUGUAUAGCUUAACAAAAUAAGCAUAAUUUAUAGGAAUAAAACAUGGCCUUGUAGUCAGUGCUACAUGGCUGCUAAGUAUAGAUAGGUGCAAUGCAACUGCUUGACUGCUACUUGACACUUACCUGUUUAUGCGUACAACGAUCUAAUUAGCCCUUUUGUUCACUUAUAUUUCUCUUCCCUAACAUUUAAGUUAUCUUAAAACCUAAAGCUUAAUAAUUUUAUCUUUUCUUCUGAGCCCCCAGUAAAAAAAAAAAAUACUAUGUUAGGGCAGCUGUUAAGAGUAGGCCAUCUAGUCCAAUAUCUCAUCUCCAACAGCUGUACCUGCAACAAAUGUUUAGGGAAAACUUAUAAGGAAUAGGGUAUGUAUAAAAUGUUACCUCCCCUAGUAUUUGUUCCCAACUUCAUGCAAUCAGGAAUUAUGGGACUUUCAGAGUCUGCAUUUACAUCGGGCAAAUAACUUAGGGAAAGGAAUGAGUCCUGACUAGAUGGCACUGAUUACUAGCCUUUUACAAAGAUGUAAUUCACAAGUACCUUAUGAAGGUUGCCAAUUAGACAGAUUUUAAUUCAUAUAAUGUAUGCUUUCUUGAUUUUGUAGAGCUGCAGUUUGAUUUGAAACUUUGUGUCAUACCAUACAUUUUGAAGUUCACCUGACAUACAUCGCAUCUAUUUUAUUUAUGAGCUUUUAAUUUUACGAGAGUAGGACCUGAUGUUAGCUUGACAGGACUGGGUUUCCAUAAACCCAUACUGAUCGAUGUUAAUUAUUUUUCCCUUCUUUAAUUCUGUUUUAUUCUAGCCCUGUAUCAGCCUUUUCGUUACUGUGUUUGUCAUCAGUGUCAGGCUGACAAUGACUCAGGUCAUUUCGUUUAAGUUUCUGCUUUAGUCCUCUGGAAAUCUGCUUAUGUUCCAAGACUCACUGAAAGUCAACAUUAAUGUCAAAGAGAACUUCCUAGUUCUUAAUACUUGUGUAUACUAAUUAUCUAGGUCUGCUAAUUUAAAUAUAUCAAAUGGUAUUAGUAGCUCUCUUAAUAUCCUCUUGAGUUACUGGCAGAAAGGAAGAUACCAAAACAGCAUCUGGUAUUGAUAAUACAUUACCUGCCUUUUUUUCCAAGCGGAGAACAGAAAUAUUUACUCAAUGCACCUAUGUCUCUUGUGCUUUCUUAUCAAUGGUCCUAUUAUUUCAAGGUAGGAAUAACAGGACCACUGUUCAUAUUCAUUGUGUUGUUAAAAGCUCUUUUUCUUAUUGCCCAAAUUUCACAGGCUAAAAAUUAUUCCCUUUGUAUUCUUUUCGUUCCCCAUCAAUUUUCUAUAAUUGCUAAUAUUUGAUUUUUAUUAACUGCUACCAACUUUCUUUCUUUCUGUUAUUUGUUACACUAUUAUAGCCCCUUUCUAUGAAGCAGAUUGUUUUUAAUUUCUUUUCAACUGUGGCCAGCACAAACACCAUCAUGACAGAGAAGAGGAGUUGAGGAAAACUGUUGGAUUAGAUUCUGAUGAUGAUUAGCUUUAUGAAUGUAGGUGCUGCUCAUGUUGCACCAAAACAGUAGCAUAUCAUCUUUUUACCCCUGUGAUAUGUCUUUGUAUUUUAACCUUUUAAUUACUGAGAGACAAGUGGAACAGUAUACCCAGGAAAUCAUACUGUUACUUUGUGGAGUAUGUUGCUAGAGACAUGACAUGCCUAUUCAAAGCAUAUCACAGUGAGGCUUUUUCAGCACCCUGCAAGCAAAUUCAUUCACUUUGAAUUCUAUGGAUUAAUCUUUUAUGAAAACUAAUUAACAUUUUACCACCUGAGUGAGCAAGUCAGUUCCAUUAGGGAACCCUCACCUUUAGUGGCAAAGUAGAAGAAGAAAUUAUGUGAUGUUCUGCUGUAUGGCCAUAUGAGAAAUUCAUAAAUAAUGAAACUGCUAGCACUAAUACUGUACGUAUAAUAUCUAUAUCAUCAUCACAUUUAUUGCUCUGUGACACUAUAAAGUUUCUUAAAAAAUCCCUCAACACUAGCGGAAUAUUUGUAUUCUGUUUAUUGGGUGAAGCAGCUUGCUUUAUUUUACAGAUGUUUUCAGGUAAGGAACUCACAACUGAAGUUUCUGCUUCUGUUUGUUUGUCUUUCUUAUGCGGACUGUGCACGCAGACAGAGACUGUGUUCCCACAUAUUGCCAUAACAGGUGCAGGAGUUGUUGAACAUUUGAAUAGUAGUAAUCAAUGAAUAAUAACUGUUAUAAUGUCCUUUGGUAUCUCUCACAAGUGACAAAAUUGGGAAGGCUCCAGGCUUCAAGUAAUAAUAAUGUGCUUUGAAAUUAAAUCAAGCUUGUUGCCUAUCAAUUACAAAAUGCCAUAAAAUGAUUAUGAGAAUGAUAUCUUUUUUCAGGUGAGAAGAGUGAGGUUCAAGCUGUGGUAUGCAGAGUGACACUCUGGGUCUGAAGGGUUUCCAAGAAUAGAACCUGUAUUCAAAUACUGCAUAGAGUAUGUACUUAGAUAAACAAAGCGACUCUGAAUGGCAGAAUUUUAUCUGGUCAGAAAAGUCAUAUCAUCUGGAAAAAAAAUAAUCCUUUUCCGGAGAGUGCAAUUCACAAUGUUGACAUUUUGAGCAUUUUUGAUAGACUCUUUUUACUGGGUUUUCUACUUGUCUUUAGCUUAAUGAAAUUCUCUCUGGCAGAGUUUCCCUCUUUUUGCAAAUUCAACCUGAGAAUAUCAAGUCUCUGCUGAGGUUGAGCACAAUGAACGACUGUGAGGGAAGCAGCUAAUGCAGGGUAAUUUGGGAAGAAAAGCAUUGCUAGCUAGGGAAAAGAUAGAAGGGAAAGGGAGAAAUCUUAUUUCAGCCUAGGCCAUGUCUCUAUCCUUGAUUUGAAUCCAGCAGACUGUUACAGAACCUUGUGGCGGACAGAUGAAUGAAUUUUUUUGCCUUAAACAUUUCUUGGUGCAUGGGGUGCAGGCAGGCCAUAACCCCGAACAAGCCAUCUGUCCCUGGCGGAAACAGGACUGGGCUGCUGCGACCCCCGAGAUGGUCUCCCUGCGACCACCCAGAACACACCGAGCCUGCACUGAACGAGACCGCAAUCGGGCAGAGACUUUGGGAUCUGGACUGUAAAUUAUUGUCCGUUUUUAGCACAACUUCUAUAAAACCUGCUUGGCAUGAGUGGCUAAAUUUGCUGAAGCCUUAGGCCGCACUCCCUAGUACAGUGAGAAAGGGCCCAGAGCUGCUGCAGGCGGGAAUGAUAAGGGCGUUACCAGCAAUUUGCAUUCCUGUGCACUGCUGAAACAGUGCUAAUUGCUGGAUUUACCACCUCUUUGUCAAGACCUUGAGAGAUGAUGGUGGGACCCGAGGAAGGAAGACACACCUAUAGGAAGGAAGACACACCUGUCUGCAGAAACUGCAACAGAAAAGAUAAGGGAGAAAAGAAACAGCCUGCCUAGGAACAACGAUGAGAUCCAAUAAGGAGCAGGAGACCCCAGACUCAAAAAUUACUAUUGGUCUGAACUACCACGUGGGGGGGUGGGAAACUUAAUUUGAAAAAGCUAUAAUUGCCCAGGGACCUCUUUGUUCAGGGUCCCUCUUUGGAGGUACCCAACUCGAGCUGUAACCACUGCACGUGUGUCAUUACAAUUUAUUUAUUUAAUCUGCCUUGAUUUGGCUCCGAGCUUUUCAGCGGGAACCUAGAGUCAGACCCUGCUCGAGUUGUAAUUACUGCACGCGCACCACCAAAACUUACACCCAGGGUGAAGAGGAGCCACCUACCACCAGACGGGAGCCCCCCCCCACUGCCGAGACUCCCAAAGGAAGAGGACCAACGGGACGCCGCUGGAUCCACGGGUGGUGAUCUCUCUCUCUCUCUCUCUCUCUCUCUCUCUCUCUUUCCCCCUCUCUUUUGUUGAAUGUUGGUAAGAUCUGUUUUUGUCUAGCUAGUUGCAGUAUUCGCCAUUGAAUUAUCCUAUUUGACCACAUGCCACAUCUUUGUGUUAAUAAAUCUUAAAACCGGUUGGCUGGUGUCGUUUCACCUUAAUUCAGUCCAAGGGCAUCACGAACUUGGUCGUUUGGCCCCAAGGGGAGGGAGGUCGUCCUGAACGACUCCUUUCGGGCCGCGACAAACCUUAAUAGAUAAUCAAUAUCUGCAUUGCAUUCCCUCACUACUUAUAAAUGACUCACACUCUAUUCCAUGUCCUGAAGCCCAAAUUUAAAGUUCAAAGACACAGUGAAUGAUUCAGAGACUUUGGGGACUGAUAUUUGAGGGGCAAGAAGUGGGAUUCAGCAACAACAUACAUACAUUGUUGCAGAAUCAGUAGGGUUUUUCCCUUAAAGGUUAGCAUUUAUAACAGGAAAAUAACAUUAUUAAUGUCAGAAGUGAAACUAGAAACUCUCCAAGUUUUUGGUCUAGUCCAGACAUUUCCCAAAGCAUUCUCAGUGGCUUCCUGUAAAUAUUUGACUGCUCUUUGUCUUGUUUUCCCCCUGGGAACACAAACAUUGCAAUACUUACGAUUCAGGGGCUACUGUGAAGCAUUCAUGAAAUUUUAAGAAGGGUUUGUGAUCUGUGGCAGGAUCGUACAAUUGUCUUGAAGGAUAUCAUUUUUGUUUCCUGUCCACCUUCGCUUUUCACUGUGUGAUGCUUGUUCAAGUGAAGAAUAGAUUUCAUCAGUAAAAGCUACCACUUUUCUUUUCUCUUCCCUCCAGCAUCUUCCAUUUCAUGUUUUUUUGUUGAAUCUAGAUUGUAGGAUAAAGAUCUUAAAUUCUGUACAGUUUGUUCAGUCUUUGGCACUAGUGCUGAAAAUGCAAACCAGUUUUCUAUUCAGUAACACCAUGUAUGUUUUUGAUGUGGAUGACAGGAAAUAUACUGAGCAGAGUCAGAACAUUUCUGCCUGGUUAAGAGCAAUUAAGCAGUAUCCUUUUGUGAUGGACCUAGCAUUAAGUGGUGACCAGACUUCUCAGAUUGUUUGAUUCCAUGGGAGUCUCAAUUUUCUUAAAGAACAGAAGUAGGAAAGGUGCUCUCCUUUGCACCAAGUAAGGAAGAGAUUAAAAGCUAGCAAGGGAGGAUGCCACACGACUGUCACACAACCAGAAACACAUCUCAUUUUUAGACCAAGCGUUAGUAAAGGGGACAAAAUAAAUCUCUAUUAAUAUUUCCGAAAAAUCACCUGAGACCUUGUCAUGAGGUAGCUAGCAUUAGAGCUAUCUUUAUUUUUCCUCCAUGGCUUUUACAUGAUUUUCCAGGAGGAGAACAGGGGAACCUCUCAAAAUUCCUCUUUGUUGUCAAUGAUGUGUUUCUCUCUGGGAGCUGAUGCAAAUCACAUCAUCUUGUGAAGUCAAUGACUGAGGACUGGCCUAGGAGAGUCUCACUGAUGGAAGGGGAAAAAGAACUAGGCUUUCUGUUUUUAGUAGGAGUGUUUAUUUGCAUUUGUUCAUUCUCUUUAGGGCUGAUCUGAUGCUCCAUUCCCUCAGCGACUGGGUUGGGAGGUAGCAAUAAGACAGCCAAGUAACUCAUUAUUUCUACAACCUAUUGUGCUAUCAUUUUAGACAAGACUGUAGCAGUCAAAUCAUCAUGAAACCGCAGGAGGACCAGCAGCCUACCUUGUUACCUUGUAAGAGACGUUUACUCAUCUUGCUUGAAUCAGUAUGACCUCUUUUGCUUGAACCUGUCACACUGAGGAUCCUCUGGGUACUGUUUGUGCCUCCCUGUGGCUUUUUGCCACAUGCUGCUUUUUUACAGGGCUUUGUACUAAAGCAGUAGCCUGUCCAUGUCUGUUUUGGGGAUUCAUGAACCAGCUCACACCUCUGACCACACAGCUGCGCAAAGAAGCCUGUGCUUUCAAUGGUUCUCUCCAGGUAGAGGGCAAGUUUCCUAGUGCCUGGUUGUGGCAGACAGAUGAGUGAACUUUUGCCUUAAACAUUUCUUGGUACAUAAGGUGCAAACAAACCAUAACCCCAUAGAAGCCAUCUGUCCCCGGCGGAAACAGGACUGAGCUGCUGCAACCCCUGAAAUGGUCUCCCUAUGACCACCCAGGACACACCGAGCCUGUGCUGAACCAGACCACAAUCGGGCAGAGACUUUGGGACCUGGACUGUAAAUUAUUGUCGUUUUUAGCACAAUUCUGUAAAACUUGCUUAGCAUGAGUAGCUAAAUUUGCUGAAGCCUUAGGCUGCACUCCCUAGUUCAGUGAGAAAGGGCCCCAGAGCUGGUGCAGGCGGGAAUGAUAAGGGAGUUGCCAGCAAUUUGCAUCUGAAACAGUGCUAAUUGCUGGAUUUACCACCUUUUAGGACCUUGAGAGAUGAUGGUGGGACCCGAGGAAUGGAGACACACCUGUCUGCAGAAACUGCAACAGUAAAGAUAAGGGAGAAAAAAAGCAGCCUGCCUAGGAACAACGAUGAGACCCAAUAGGGAGCAGGAGACCCCAGACCCAAAAAUUACUAUUGGUCUGAACUACCGCGUGAGGGGGUGGGAAACUUAAUUUGAAAAAGCUAUAAUUGCCCAGGGAUCUCUUUGUUCGGGGUCCCUCUUCGGAGGCACCCAACUUGAGCUGUAACCACUGCACGUGUGUCAUUACAAUUUAUUUAUUUAAUCUGCCUUGAUUUGGCUCCGAGCUUUUCAGCGGGAACCUAGAGUCAGACCCUGCUCGAGUUGUAAUUACUGCACGCGCAUCACCAAAACUUACACCCAGGGUGAAGAGGAGCCACCUACCACCAGACGGGAGCCCCACCACCACCGCCGAGACUCCCAAAGGAAGAGGACCAACGGGACGCCGCUGGAUGCAUGGGUGGUGAUCUCUCUUUCUCUCUUUCCCCCUUUUUCUCUCUUUUUCCCUCUCUUUUGUUGAAUGUUGGUAAGAUCUGUUUGAAACGUGUGACACGGGACUUGUCUAGCUAGCUGCAGUAUUCGCCAUUGAAUUAUCCUAUUUGACCACAUGCCUUAUCUUUGUGUUAAUAAAUCUUAAAACCGG